CGCCUCCGCCUCGGCCGCGAAGCGAUGUAGGAGCCGCCAGGCCGUCCCCCGUCCCGCCCGGCCUGAGCCCCGCGGGCCGCCGCCGCCGUCGCCAUGAAGAAACAGUUCAACCGCAUGAAGCAGCUGGCCAACCAGACCGUGGGCAGAGCCGAGAAAACAGAAGUCCUCAGUGAUGAUCUGUUACAGAUCGAGCGGCGCUUGGACACAGUGCGCUCCAUGUGUCACCAUUCCCACAAGCGCCUGGUGGCCUGCUUCCAGGGGCAGCACGGCACCGAUGCCGAGAGGAGACACAAAAAACUCCCUGUGACAGCUCUCGCUCAGAAUAUGCAAGAAGCAUCAACUCAGCUAGAAGACUCUCUCCUGGGGAAGAUGCUGGAGACGUGUGGAGAUGCUGAGAAUCAGCUGGCUCUGGAACUCUCUCAGCAUGAAGUCUUUGUCGAGAAGGAGAUCGUGGACCCUCUGUACGGCAUAGCAGAGGUAGAGAUUCCUAACAUCCAGAAACAGAGGAAGCAGCUCGCCAGAUUGGUUUUAGACUGGGACUCGGUCAGAGCCAGAUGGAACCAGGCUCACAAAUCUUCAGCAACCAACUUUCAGGGGCUUCCAUCAAAAAUAGAUACCCUAAAGGAAGAGAUGGAUGAAGCUGGAAAUAAAGUAGAACAGUGCAAGGAUCAACUUGCAGCGGAUAUGUACAAUUUUAUGGCCAAAGAAGGGGAGUAUGGCAAAUUUUUUGUUACGUUAUUAGAAGCUCAAGCAGAUUACCAUAGAAAAGCAUUAGCAGUCUUAGAAAAGGCCCUUCCCGAAUUGCGAGCCCAUCAAGAUAAGUGGGCAGAGAAGCCCGCCUUCGGGACGCCUUUGGAAGAACACCUGAAGCGGAGCGGGCGUGAGAUCGCGCUGCCCCUUGAGGCCUGCGUCAUGCUGCUCCUGGAGACGGGCAUGAAGGAGGAGGGCCUUUUCCGAAUUGGGGCUGGGGCCUCCAAGUUAAAGAAACUGAAAGCUGCUUUAGACUGUUCUACUUCUCACCUGGAUGAGUUCUACUCAGACCCCCAUGCUGUAGCAGGUGCUUUAAAGUCCUAUUUACGGGAACUGCCUGAACCUUUGAUGACUUUUAAUUUGUAUGAAGAAUGGACACAAGUUGCAAGUGUACAAGAUCAAGACAAAAAACUUCAGGAUUUGUGGAGAACAUGUCAGAAGUUGCCACCACAAAAUUUUGUUAACUUUAGGUAUUUAAUCAAGUUCCUUGCAAAGCUUGCUCAGACCAGUGACAUUAAUAAAAUGACUCCCAGCAACAUUGCAAUCGUGUUAGGCCCUAACUUGUUAUGGGCCAAAAAUGAAGGAACGCUAGCCGAAAUGGCAGCGGCCACAUCCGUCCACGUGGUUGCUGUCAUUGAACCCAUCAUUCAGCAUGCCAACUGGUUCUUCCCCGAAGAGGUGGAAUUUAAUGUAUCAGAAGCAUUCGUACCUCUCACCACCCCAAAUUCCAAUCACUCGUCCCACACUGGAAAUGACCCUGUCGACUCGGGGACCCUGGAGAGGAAGCGGCCUGCCAGCAUGGCGGUGAUGGAGGGGGACCUGGUGAAGAAGGAGAGCUUUGGUGUGAAGCUUAUGGACUUCCAGGCUCACCGGCGGGGUGGCACCCUAAAUAGAAAGCACAUAUCCCCUGCUUUCCAGCCGCCACUCCCGCCCACAGAUGGCAGCACCUUGGCUCCAGCGGGCCCAGAGCCCCCUCCCCAGAGCUCUAGGGCCGAAAGCAGCACAGGGGGUGGGACUGUCCCCUCCUCUGCGGGCAUGCUGGAGCAGGGGCCCAGCCCGGGCGACAGCAGUCCUCCAAAGCCCAAGGAUCCUGCGGCUGCACCUGCACCCGGGAGAAACAGCAGUCAGGCGGCCCCCGGCCAAAGCCAGGCCCAGGCCACUGCCGGCUCCCAUCAGCUCUCUGUGGGCCCUACGCACAAUUCCGCCGGCCCGAGCCCUCACACGGUGCGCCGAGCUGUUAAAAAACCUGCUCCAGCACCCCCGAAACCUGGAAACCCGCCUCCUGGCCAUCCCGGGGGCCAGAGUUCUCCAGGAGCAUCUCAGCAUCCACCCAGCCUGUCACCAAAGCCGUCCACCCGAAGCCCUUCUCCCCCAACUCAGCCGCCCGGCCAGGCCCCAGGCCAGCCCUGCGCCACCUCGCAGCUCUCCGCACCCCGGAGAUACUCCAGCAGCCUGCCUCCGAUCCAAGCCCCCAACCACCCGCCACCGCAGCCCCCCACGCAGGCCACACCGCCGCCAGCGCUCACCAAGCCAGGCAGCCAGGGCCCACCGGCUCCCGGGGCCCUGCCCGGUGAGCCCGGACUCGAGCAGUCCUCCCACACCCCUCCCCAGACGCCGACGCCCCCCAGCACUCCGCCCCUAGGAAAACAGAACCCCGGCCAGGUGGUGAGUAACCCCGAGACCGCGCAGCCACACGCUGGAACCUUGCCGAGACCAAGACCAGUACCAAAGCCGAGGAACCGGCCCAGCGUGCCCCCACCCCCUCAUCCUCCUGGCGCCCACCCCGCCGGGGAUGGCAGCCUCAGCAUCGCAGCUCCCACCUCCUCCAAAAUAGUCACAGAUGCCCUUCCUAGCGCCCUCACAGGUGGGGAAGGUUUCCAGGACUAAGGUCUGUAACCCCCCCAAGCAGCUUCCUGCAGCUCCAAAUGCUCCUGCUUAGCGGUGUUUUGCAUACAUGCUUUUGACUUUGUGCUCAGGAGCAGCCAUCUGACCCCGUGCCAUCCAUUCUCUAGACAUCACUUUUGUUUUUAUCAGAAGCACUUUGAGCUGCAAAUGCUUCGAAUUCAAGAGGUAGAUGUCAGUAGAUUGCAAGCCCGAUUUCAAGCCGCUCAGAUAAGAUACUAAGAAAUGUCUCCUUUCUUUUUGGUAAGCCUUUCACAAGCAUUCUGCUCUUUUCAGCGUGAUUUCCCUCUCAUUGAUUGGCUCAUCAGCAUCACCCAAAGAGGUCUCUGGUGCAGUUAGCACGGAAAAUUGCGUCCCUUGUGUCUUGAGCUUUAAGUUUUAAUUUUACCUCUUAAGUGCAAGUUAACUGCAUGGAGCUUCUUAAUUUGGUGUUUGAAUUUCUCAGGACCCCCCCCCCCCGCAAAAAAAAAAUCUUCCUCCAAAGAUCCCACACUAAAUUUCUUUGCAUUCUGGCGUGCUUACAUUUUUGCUUUCUUAAACCAUAUGAGCUUUUUGAAAGGUACUGUGAGGCUCAUCUGAAUCUUGCCUUUAGGUCCACACUUAGACGGAAUAAGGCUCUCGUUACUGCUCUAAUCAGCUGAUCUGAGCCUUAAGCCUUCAGUGGACUACUUAGCCGGCGUUUCCACAUCUUUGGUCUAGGAAGACUUUCUAUAGAUACCAGAAGAGGAAAACAAGAAUGCGAUCUUUACAACACAGAGGAGGGCACAGAGGCGUGAUUCCGCCUUCCUGACUCCUAGGUGAUGAACCCAAAAGUCUGUGGUUGCCCAGUUGGGUGUGAAAAUCACAGAGUGAAGUGACUAAACCCUAAUUAAGGCUGAGCCUUUUAACACUUCAAUACUUGUGACACAUCAGAAUUUUAUUCCCAGAUCUUCCCUUUUAUUUAGAUGAAAGACUACAGACCAGAAUUAUGUCUACUCUUUAAUACCAUGUUUACCUGGGGUGUAUUUAUUUCAGAAGCUUAUUUUAUUGAUCUGCUAUAACACUGCAGUGCUCUGUACUUUGACAGUUGCCAGAUAAGUGAAAUUUGAUAUUAUAAAUACUUUUCCUUAGGAUAUUAGCUAAAUAUUUUAAAACCAAUCUGUACUUCGAAUUCUCCUAACUCAAGAAAUUACAGGUCACCACCACUAUCUUUGUAUUACAGAAUUAAUUUUUAAUUUCUUAAAAUCCCCCGGAUUGCCAUUAGGAGUACACAAAAGGCCAGCGUUUAGAAUUUAUGAAUAUGCUCGUGUUGUUCAUGCUGCUCUUAGGCACCUUGGAUAUAGCCAUUGGGUAUUUCAAGAAGAAAAAAAUGUAACUUCCCUAGACAGGUAGUCCUUUAUUGUGACAUCAUGUUUUCACUUGGAAAGCUCUAGACAGACAAAUUCCUGAGAACAGGUUAUUCAUUCAGAGCAUUUAAUCUUAAAAAUUGAAUUAAGGCCUGGGGAUUAAGAGAAACUCUUGGGGGCGAUUACUGCUGCUAAACAGGUCAGACAGCCAGUUUGUCGCAGCUCAGCACCAGCACCAGAAAAAGGAGGGAUUCUGCUGUCAUUCUGAAUCUCUUCCUAGUUUGUUACUCUAGAAAGCAGUAGGAAAAAGAAAGGAAGAAAGAAAGAAAAAGAAAGCAGUAGGAGUUUAGCUUUGCAAGGAAAAGAGUUUGCAUCUUGCUGUUUUUAAAGUAAUAGAUUUUAGCCAAGAGUGUUCUAAUGUAACAUUUUAUUAAAUAAUUUAGAUGUAUGACCUGCCAUAUUCAGUAGGAACUGAAAUUGGAAUAUUUAAUGACGCCAAUUCUAGGGUUUCAGAACCGCUUCGCAGCAUCUUUCCUGAAACGCAUUCAGACUCAGCCAGCAAAGACCUGCCCGGCCGCAUUCUGUUGGACAUGGACAAUGAUACAGAAAGUACCGCCCUGUGAAGAAAGCC